rnacentral:rRNA from 1 species
CCUACGGGAGGCAGCAGUGAGGAAUAUUGGUCAAUGGGCUUACGCCUGAACCAGCCAAGUCGCGUGAGGGAAGACUGACCUAUGGGUUGUAAACCUCUUUUGUCAGGGAGCAAUUGGCGCUACGUGUAGCGUUAUCGAGAGUACCUGAAGAAAAAGCAUCGGCUAACUCCGUGCCAGCAGCCGCGGUAAUACGUAGGGGGCAAGCGUUAUCCGGAUUUACUGGGUGUAAAGGGAGCGUAGACGGCUAAUCAAGUCAGAAGUGAAAACCCAGGGCUCAACCUUGGGACUGCUUUUGAAACUGAGUAGCUAGAGUGCAGGAGAGGUAAGCGGAAUUCCUAGUGUAGCGGUGAAAUGCGUAGAUAUUAGGAGGAACACCAGUGGCGAAGGCGGCUUACUGGACUGUAACUGACGUUGAGGCUCGAAAGCGUGGGGAUCGAACAGGAUUAGAUACCCCUGUAGUC